AGGACGCAUUUAUCAGAUCAAAGUCAAUGUGUUCGCAAGAACUCUAAACUGUGAUGACUCUGGGUAAAUUAUCGGAUUGAUCUGCUUUUAAGCAGGCGACGUUGAUUGCAAGUGUCUGACCUAUCAACUUUUGAUGGCAGUCGACAUUACUGCCAUGGUUGUAACGGGUAACGGGGAAUCAGGGUUCGAUUCCGGAGAGAGAGCAUGAGAAAUGGCUGUCACAUCCAAGGAAGGCAGCAGGCGCGCAAAUUACCCAAUCCCUGAUCGGGGAGGUAGUGACGAGAAAUAUCAGUACCGGCAUUUUGUUUGGUAAUUGAAAUGAGAACAAUGAAAGAAUUUUAUCGAGUAUCUAUUGGAGGGCAAGCUCUGGUGCCAGCAGCCGCGGUAAUACCAGCUCGAAAAGCGUAUGUUAAAGUUGCUGCGGUUAAAACGCUCGUCGUUGGACAUCAGGAAAAACUCUGCGGACGAUCGAGUAUCGUUUCCGUGGAUGUAUUCCUUUAUACACCUUUUCUCUGUCGUGCACUUUAAUGUGUGGGGCGGUAGAUGGUGAUUGUCACUUUGAGAAAAUUAGUGUGCUCAACACAGGCUUUAUGCUUGUAUAAUGCUGCAUGGGAUGACGGAAUAGGGCCUCGGUUCCGUUUCGUUGGCUUACGAAAGCAGAGGUCAUGAUUAAUCGGGACAGACGGGGGCAUUCGUAUUGUGGUGCUAGAAGUGAAAUUCUGUGACCAUCGCAAGACGAACAACUGCGAAAGCAUUUGCCAAGAAUGU
rnacentral:rRNA from 1 species